AGAGAUGGAGUUUCACCAUAUUGAUCAGGCUGGUUUUGAACUCCUGAUCACACACACACACCCUACACUCCUAGCUUAAUAUCCUAUUAUCACUUGGUAUUAUUCAAAGAAUGAAAAUCAAACUUUUUACCAUGACCUCAGGCCUUAUAUGGUCUCUCCUCUACCUUCCUCAUCCAGCCUUAUCUUGUAUAACUCUCCCUCCUUGCCCUCUGUAUUCCAGCUUCUCAGCUUUCUCUUUCUUCUGCCAUAGGUCCUUCGCAUUGAUGUCUUCUCUAAAUGAAAUACUAUCCCCUACCAGUCCCCCUUCUCCUAGUCCAUGCCUGCUUCAGCCUUCAACUAUCAGCUUACAUUUUUAGGGUGUAUUUUCUGAACUCCUUUGUCAAGUCAGUCCUUUGCUAUGUACUCUCAGAAAAGUUUGUUUCUCUCCCUCAGAUCAUUUAUCUCACACUUUCAUUAGAGCAAUUAUUUGAUUAUUGUUUUAUCCCCCAUAGACUAUAAGCUUUAGCAUUUGGAAUACAAUGAUAAAUAUUGUCCUUACUGUUAAAAACUCGGAAGAGUUUAUGACUUUAGUAAGGAAGACAAACCUGUGAGAGAUGUAAGUACCUACCAUGUGUGGGGGAGAUCUUUGGAAGCUCAGUGAACCUUCCUUCCCCUCCCGUGUUGAUAUAACCAGGUGACAACCAACAAUUCCAGCUUUCCCUUUCACUGUAGGCCUGGUCCUCCUGGCCCUGUGCUUACUCAGAACCUAAAUGCUCCAUGAAACCUCAGCAACUAAGGUUAUCAUUUUGUUUAUAGAAGUGAGACACAUUUUAUGCAGUCUAGCAUUGUAGGUUGCUGUGCCCCCAAAGGGGGAAUACCAACAAACAGAUUAUUUAAAAGGGUUAUAUUUAGAUUGAGAAAUGGGAUAAAUUUCACCAUUUGAUAAAUGAGAGAAGAGUGGCUUAAACAAUAACCACUUCAAUUUGAAAAAUGUUGAAUUAUCUAAAAGGAUCCAGAAAAGUAAAAUUAAUUCACAGCAAUCUGUAGGAUGAACUAGUAGAAGGAGUGGAAGUUGAAAAACUAUUGGAUAAAAUCACAAUAUGAGAACUGUUUAUACUUAAGGAACACAUAGGUGGUUUCUUUAAAACUCCAGAUGUUUUAUGGUCUAUGUUACCUAUUUAAAGGCUUUGCCAGAGACGGCUUUGCUGGGAGUUGCUGGGCGGCUUUUGUGGGAUCGGUGGCAUCAGGGAUCCGCUGCGGCGUGUCUUUGGCAUGGCUCAGCCCCUGAUGCGCCGCGCGGCAGGCACAGCUCACACUCCUGUUCCCUGGCUGGUCGGGGAUCCAGACACCGCGUCGACGGCGGCUUCGCAGGACGCGCGGACCGAAUCACAGUCCAUGCCCCAAGCGGACUACAUUAUGAGGCAUCUGCCUUCUGCCGCGGUCGAGUGGUGCAUGGCUUCGGCCACGGCUCCAAGCAGCUGAGCAUCCCCACAGCUAAUUUUCCUGAGCAAGUGGUAGAUAAUCUUCCAGCUAAUAUAUCCACUGUCAUUUAUUAUGGUUGGGCCAGUGUUGGAAGUGGGGAUGUCCAUAAGAUGGUGGUGAGCAUAGGCUGGAACCUAUAUUACGAGAAUAUUAAGAAGUCCAUGGAAAAACAUACCAUGCACACCUUCAAAGAGGACUUCUAUGGGGAAAUCCUCAAUGUGGCCAUUGUGGGCUACCUCAGACCAGAAAAGAACUUUGAUUCUUUAGAGUCACUUAUUUCAGCAAUUCAAGGUGAUAUUGAGGAAGCUAAGAAACGACUAAAUUUACCAGAACAUUUGAAAAUCAAAGAAGACAAUUUCUUCCAGGUUUCCAAAAGCAAAACAAUGAAUAGCCACUGAUGAAAAAUUGUAUUAUUUAUUCAUUCACUGUUUUCUAGUGUUUCUGUGUUUAUUACUGUCCAGCCUCAUCUUGGUUAUGUUUUAAAAAUCAAACACUUUCCUACAGUUGUGAAUUAAACAGUACAAUGUAGUUACCAUAUCAUGCUUCAGCUGUUAAAUGAAGCCCAUCAUGUCAUAGUACUAAAAAGAUUCAUUUAAAAAU